rnacentral:rRNA from 1 species
CACGUAGGGGACGAGCGUUGUCCGGAUUCAUUGGGCGUAAAGCGCGCGUAGGCGGCUCGGAAAGUCGGGCGUGAAAUGCCGGGGCUCAACCCCGGGACUGCGUCCGAUACUUCCGAGCUGGAGGUAGGUAGGGGGAGAUCGGAAUUCCUGGUGUAGCGGUGAAAUGCGCAGAUAGUCAGGAGGAACACCGGUGGCGAAGGCGGAUCUCGUGGGCCUUACCUGACGCUGAGGUGCGAAAGCGUGGGGAGCAAACAGG